UCUCUCCAUCAAUUCGUUGUCUCAAUCUUGGCUUUCUAUUAUUUGUCAACUUUUGGACAAUUAAUUUGAGCAAUCUCCAAACUUUCAGUCACGUGUGCACGUGUUUGAAAGUAGUUGUGGAACCUAGGGGAGCAACCAGCUAGAAGGAUUUAUACCAGAGUCGGGCUGAAAUUGCUUUCAAGGCAGUGACUUGCAUUUAUUGCUAUUUUUAAUUCCAAUUCCAUAUCAAUAUUGUAGUAUUUUUUCCAACAUAUAAGUGUAUCAAUAAUACUCUCCUCAUCUCCUUCUUCU
rnacentral:lncRNA from 1 species